rnacentral:rRNA from 1 species
CAGUAGCCACGGGAAUACGAGGGGGGCAAGCGUUGUUCGGAAUUAUUGGGCGUAAAGCGUACGUAGGCGGCUUUGUAGGUUAGAGGUGAAAGCCCGGAGCUCAACUCCGGAAUUGCCUUUAAGACUGCAUCACUUGAACGUCGGAGAGGUGAGUGGAAUUCCGAGUGUAGAGGUGAAAUUCGUAGAUAUUCGGAAGAACACCAGUGGCGAAGGCGGCUCACUGGACGACUGUUGACGCUGAGGUACGAAAGCGUGGGGAGCAAACAGGAUUAGAUACCCCCGUAGUCCCUGUCUCUAUACA